rnacentral:rRNA from 1 species
GAUGAACGCUGGCGGCGUGCUUAACACAUGCAAGUCGAACGGAGAUUACGGACGGAAGUUUUCGGAUGGAAGCCUGUAAUUCUUAGUGGCGGACGGGUGAGUAACGCGUGGGCAACCUGCCCUAUACAGGGGGAUAGCAGCUGGAAACGGCUGGUAAGACCGCAUAAGUCGGUUAAAUCGCAUGAUUUGAUCGGGAAAUGAGCAAUCAGGUAUAGGAUGGGCCCGCGUCCGAUUAGCCAGUUGGCAGGGUAAAAGCCUACCAAAGCGACGAUCGGUAGCCGGACUGAGAGGUCGGACGGCCACAUUGGGACUGAGACACGGCCCAAACUCCUACGGGAGGCAGCAGUGGGGGAUAUUGCACAAUGGAGGAAACUCUGAUGCAGCGACGCCGCGUGAGUGAAGAAGUAUUUCGGUAUGUAAAGCUCUAUCAGCAGGGAAGAUGAUGACGGUACCUGACUAAGAAGCCCCGGCUAACUACGUG